AAGUGUUCCUCCUCCUCUUAAAUGAUUGAUAAUUUCCAUGUUUACUUAAAACUUUUGCAGCACUUCCGUACAACUCUUAGAUGUCUGAAGUUCUGGGCCAAAAGACGUUGUGUUUAUUCCAAUGUUACUGGAUUUCUUGGUGGGGUGAAUUGGGCUCUUUUGGUUGCUCGCAUUUGCCAGUUUUACCCAAAUGCAAUCCCUAGUAUGCUUGUUUCUAGGUUCUUCCGUGUUUAUACACAAUGGCGUUGGCCA
rnacentral:misc_RNA from 1 species